UGGGAGCUCUCCCAUAUGGUCGACCUGCAGGCGGCCGCGAAUUCACUAGUGAUUCGUAUUACCGCGGCUGCUGGCACAGAGUUAGCCGGUGCUUAUUCUGCGGGUACCGUCAUAGCAACGAGUUAUUCGCUCGUUACCUUUCUUCCCCACCUAAAGUGCUUUACAACCCGAAGGCCUUCUUCACACACGCGGCAUCGCUGGAUCAGGGUUUCCCCCAUUGUCCAAGAUUCCCCACUGCUGCCUCCCGUAGGAGUCUGGGCCGUGUCUCAGUCCCAGUGUGGCUGGUCAUCCUCUCAGACCAGCUACGGAUCGUCGCCUUGGUAGGCUUUUACCCCACCAACUAGCUAAUCCGACGUAGGCUCACCCCAGAGCGCAAGGCCUUUCGGUCCCCUGCUUUUGAUCUCUCGAUAUCAUGUGGUAUUAGCCCGAGUUUCCUCGGGUUAUCCCACGCUCCAGGACAGAUUCCUACGUGUUACUCACCCGUCCGCCACUCGCCACCCCAUAAAGACCGAAAUCUUUACUGUGCUGCCGUUCGACUUGCAUGUGUUAGGCAUGCCCCCAGCGUUCAAUCUGAGCCAUGAUCAAACUCUAAUCGAAUUCCCGCGGCCGCCAUGGCGGCCGGGAGCAU
rnacentral:rRNA from 1 species